UACGAAGGGAGCUAGCGUUGUUCGGAAUCACUGGGCGUAAAGCGUGCGCAGGCGGCUUUGCAAGUCAGGGGUGAAAUGCCAAGGCUUAACCUUGGAACUGCCUUUGAAACUGCAUGGCUAGAGGACUGGAGGGGUUAGGGGAAUUCCUAAUGUAGCGGUGAAAUGCGUAGAUAUUAGGAGGAACACCAGCGGCGAAGGCGCCUAACUGGACAGUCACUGACGCUCAUGCACGAAAGCGUGGGGAUCAAACAGG
rnacentral:rRNA from 1 species